UACGUAGGGUGCGAGCGUUAAUCGGAAUUACUGGGCGUAAAGGGCUCGUAGGCGGCCAACUAAGUCGGAUGUGAAAUCCCCAGGCUUAACCUGGGAACUGCAUCCGAUACUGGAUGGCUUGAAUCCGGGAGAGGGAUGCAGAAUUCCAGGUGUAGCGGUGAAAUGCGUAGAUAUCUGGAGGAAUACCGGUGGCGAAGGCGGCAUCCUGGACCGGCAUUGACGCUGAGGAGCGAAAGCUAGGGGAGCAAACGGG
rnacentral:rRNA from 1 species